rfam:Colletotrichum orchidophilum strain IMI 309357 Scaffold_132.1, whole genome shotgun sequence.
ACAUACGACCAUACCCGUUGGAAAAUUAGGGAUCCCGUCCGCUCUCCCAUAUACAAGCUAACGAGGGCCGGAUUAGUAGUUGGGUCGGUGACGACCAGCGAAUACCUGGUGUUGUAUGUU